GGAAUGAGUUAAAUCAUUACUAAUAAUCAAGAAUGAUUAAUUCAUCAUCUUGUCUGUUAAUUAUAAGGGGAGGAGACAAAAAUAACAAUCAUUUACAUUUGAAUAGAUUAAUAAUGAAGAUCGUUUAUGAUUUAUGUAAUAAUUAACGAAGUGGAUAAUUUAAUCUUACUCUUAAUUUUUGUAGAUUAAUUAACAAUUUGAAUCAGUUGAUUAGGUUUCUUUUUCCUGGUUGAUGAUGAUGAAAAAAAAAGUGUCACUGGUUUUGAGUUAUUGGUGAAAAUGAUGACAGAAGGGGGAAAAAUAUGAUAUCAAGUGAUGAGGAUGAACAUUUGAUGAUGAUGAAGAUGAUUUCUCGUCAGUUAUCAUCCGGAUGAUGAUAAAAUCCUCUUGAUAUAUAGAUUUUCAUGUAUCACAAUUAAGCCUUGAAGGUAAACUGAGAGAGAGAGAGAGAAAAUGUCAACAUGGUGAAUCAAGUUUUCCCGUUUCAAUGGAUUCACAAUCUUAUCACCAAACUCUGAACAAAGUUCAGUAUCACCAUGAGCUCAGAAUAUUAUUUAUAAUCAAGAAUAAGUGACAACUUUUUUCUUCCAAUUCUUUUUCAAACUUAUUGUUCAAAUUUCUCAUGAUAAUCUAUUCAAACAAUUAAUCUUGAGAAUUGCCAGAUAAUUAGAUUAAAUUAAUCCAUUGAUUUCGGUGUUAAACUGAUGAAAAUUUAAAUUAGAUUCAAAUGAUCAAAGUUAAUCAACUUUAAUCUUGAACAUUAAAUCAAUGGAAAGGUUUUCUUAUUCAGUUUAAUUGUUAAUGUCUUCAAUUUGAUUAUUAGUUUAACUUUAGUUCGUUAGUUAAUUAAUUGUGAUUACUUUGCAUUUCGAUUUGAUCGAAAUUUUUUUUCUCCUCUUUGUCUUCUUUCAUUAAUUAAUUAAUACAAAGAUUCAUUGUAAAUCCUAAUCGCUAAUUGUUGUUAGUAAUAUUAUUUUUUCUUGUUCCUCAUUUUUUUCCCAAUUUAUGAUGAAAGACAAUUAACUUUAAUCAUCGUAAUCAACGAGGACCCCUAAGGUUAACAAUUUAUUUAACCCAAGAGACUCAGGAAACAAUGUUGGUUAAUGUUAAUCGAUUAGGAGCUCGAGAUGAAAUGUUAAUCAACAAUUUACUUCGUAAUUCAAUUUUCUUGGGUAAACCUAAAUUAAAGACAAUCUUUCAACAAUUACAACGAAACUAUCACAAUCAAAAAGUUUCUGUAUUCUGUUCUGGAUCUUCAGGAUUAAGGAAAGAAAUUAAGAAAACAUGUCGGACAAUUAACUUAAAUGGAAGUCGAUUUGUCUUUAAACAUGAAGAUUUUGGAUUCUAAUUAACUAAUUGUAACAAUUGCCAGCGAUUAGUUCAGAUGAUUAUCUCAUCUAAUUCAAUUGUAAAUAUCUAUCAUAUUGAUCACUUUUGACAAUCAAAGGAAUUGAUUAUAUUUGAUCAACACUCACAAAUUGUUGAUUAAUUUGAAAUAAAAGUUUUUUAAAUCAUCAUCAA